GUGAGGAAUUUUCCGCAAUGGGCGAAAGCCUGACGGAGCAAUGCCGCGUGAAGGAUGAAGGCCUAUGGGUUGUAAACUUCUUUUCUCAGAAAAGAAUUAUGACGGUAUCUGAGGAAUAAGCAUCGGCUAACUCUGUGCCAGCAGCCGCGGUAAGACAGAGGAUGCAAGCGUUAUCCGGAAUGAUUGGGCGUAAAGCGUCUGUAGGUUGUUUAAAAAGUAUUCUGUCAAAGAUUAGGGCUUAACCCUAGAUAGGCAGAAUAAACUUUUAAGCUAGAGUUUGGUAGAGGCAGAGGGAAUUCCCGGUGGAGCGGUGAAAUGCGUAAAUAUCGGGAGGAACACCAAAGGCGAAGGCACUCUGCUGGGCCAAUACUAACACUGAGAGACGAAAGCGAGGGGAGCAAAUGGGAUUAGAAACCCCUGUAGUCC
rnacentral:rRNA from 1 species